CUGCUGCCUCCCGUAGGAGUUUGGGCCGUGUCUCAGUCCCAAUGUGGCCGUCCACCCUCUCAGGCCGGCUACUGAUCGUCGCCUUGGUGGGCCGUUACCCCGCCAACAAGCUAAUCAGACGCGGGUCCAUCUUACACCACCGGAGUUUUUCACACAAAUCCAUGCGGCUUCGUGCGCUUAUGCGGUAUUAGCACCUAUUUCUAAGUGUUAUCCCCCAGUGUAAGGCAGGUUACCCACGCGUUACUCACCCGUCCGCCACUAAGAUUUA
rnacentral:rRNA from 1 species